rnacentral:rRNA from 1 species
CGGGACGGGUGAGUAAUGCUUGGGAAUCUAGCUUAUGGAGGGGGGUAACUACGGGAAACUGUAGCUAAUACCGCGUAAUAUCGAAAGAUUAAAGUGUGGGACCUUCGGGCCACAUGCCAUAGGAUGAGCCCAAGUGGGAUUAGGUAGUUGGUGAGGUAAGGGCUCACCAAGCCGACGAUCUCUAGCUGGUCUGAGAGGAUGACCAGCCACACUGGGACUGAGACACGGCCCAG